rnacentral:misc_RNA from 1 species
UUUCCGUAGGUGAACCUGCGGAAGGAUCAUUCAUAAUAAAGUGUUUUAUGGCACUUUUUAAAAAUCCAUAUCCACCUUGUGUGCAAUGUUAGAUCUCGUCAAUCUUGGCGAGAUUUUUAUACAUCAACUCAUUCUUUAACUAAUUUGUCUGAAAAAUAUUAUGAAUACUUAGUUCAAAAUACAACUUUCAACAACGGAUCUCUUGGCUCUC